rnacentral:rRNA from 1 species
UAGGGAAUCUUCCACAAUGGACGCAAGUCUGAUGGAGCAACGCCGCGUGAGUGAAGAAGGCUUUCGGGUCGUAAAACUCUGUUAUUGAAGAAGAACGUGCGUGACAGUAACUGGUCAUGCAGUGACGGUAUUCAAUCAGAAAGUCACGGCUAACUACGUGCCAGCAGCCGCGGUAAUACGUAGGUGGCAAGCGUUGUCCGGAUUUAUUGGGCGUAAAGCGAGUGCAGGCGGUCUUUUAAGUCUGAUGUGAAAGCCUUCGGCUUAACCGAAGAAGGGCAUCGGAAACUGGGAGACUUGAGUGCAGAAGAGGAGAGUGGAACUCCAUGUGUAGCGGUGAAAUGCGUAGAUAUAUGGAAGAACACCAGUGGCGAAGGCGGCUCUCUGGUCUGUAACUGACGCUGAGGCUCGAAAGCGUGGGUAGCAAACAGGAUUAGAUACCCUGGUAGUCCACGCCGUAAACGAUAAAUACUAAGUGUUGGAGGGUUUCCGCCCUUCAGUGCUGCAGCUAACGCAUUAAGUAUUCCGCCUGGGGAGUACGACCGCAAGGUUGAAAC